rnacentral:rRNA from 1 species
UACAGAGGGGGGCGAGCGUUUGUUCGGAAUUACUGGGCGUAAAGGGCGCGUAGGCGGCCAACUAAGUCAGACGUGAAAUCCCUCGGCUCAACCGGGGAACUGCGUCCGAUACUGGUUGGCUUGAGUUUGGGAGAGGGAUGCGGAAUUCCAGGUGUAGCGGUGAAAUGCGUAGAUAUCUGGAGGAACACCGGUGGCGAAGGCGGCAUCCUGGACCAACACUGACGCUGAUGAGCGAAAGCCAGGGGAGCAAAGCGGG